UACGUAGGGGGCAAGCGUUGUCCGGAUUUAUUGGGCGUAAAGAGCUCGUAGGUGGUUUGGUAAGUCGGAUGUGAAAUCUCCAGGCUCAACCUGGAGGGGUCAUUCGAUACUGCCAUGACUAGAGGUCGGUAGGGGAGUGUGGAAUUCCUGGUGGAGCGGUGAAAUGCGCAGAUAUCAGGAAGAACACCAAUGGCGAAAGCAGCUCUCUGGGACGGUACUGACGCUGAGACGCGAAAGCGUGGGGAGCGAACAGG
rnacentral:rRNA from 1 species